UGCCAAAACUAUAGUUUGUUAACAAGAAAUUUGUAGAGUGGUUGAAAAACAAGUUUUAAUGACUCCAACCUGUCUAUUUGAAACACAACCUUGAUUACAGCGACGGUAUGGAUGAAUCUGUCUGGUAAUGUGUGACGAAGGAAAAGUCAUUUACUCUGUUGACACCGUCUUUCGGUUUCCUGCAGAGGUGAGGAAAGUGAUUGGGAUAGAGAUGUUUCAGGAAACAGAGAAGGACGCCAAAGUCAAUGGGCUGAUUAACAUUGAGUCCCACUGUGGAAAGGCUGCUGAAGACAUUUCAAAUGGUGCUCAGCACUGUCAUAUCCCCAAACGUCACAGCCAUUGUGGACCCACCCAGAGCAAGCCUACGUCCCAAGGUCAUUCUGGCAAUCAGAGCAUGUGAAGAGGCUGGUUUAUGUGGCAUGCGAUGCUAAGGCUGCCAUGAACAAAUUUAUUGAGUGAGUCUUUGCAGGGCUCCCUCUAACGGUGUACGUGGAGCUCAUUUCCAUCCGGUCCGGGCCAUGGCUGUGGACCUCUUCCCCCUUACUACACACUGAGAUGCUGCCGUUCUUUUAGAUGGUGAACUAGUUUCCAGAGCACCAGCAACAAACUGGAAGACGAGGCUGAGGGAACCAGCAACAAACCGGAAGAGACCACAAAAUUUUACCUUACCCUGUUGUCAUUAUUUCAGGUAUGUUUUGUACUUACUGUACAUGUUCUAAACAGAAGCAGUGUCAGCAAAGUCCAUGGGGAAGUAGAUACUUUCUGAAGGCACUAUGUGGUAGAUAACUGUUCACACCCCUGGACUUUUUCCACAUUUUGUGGGAUUAAAAUGGAUUUGUCAUUUUCUGUCAACAAUCUGCACAAAAUACUCUGGGGGGGGGGAACAAGUUUUGAUUA